AAUUUACCAGUUUUUCAUUCUUGACCUGGUUGGUGUCAGAAGGAAGAGGAUCAGCAUGGAGCGCUACGCAUUGUGUUGUUCCUGAGUGGUUCUAAUCCAUUGGAUACAUCUGAUUCAGGAUUUAAUGACAGACCCAGAGGUGUAAAUCAACUUUCGCUAUCCCAUGAUCUAGCUGGUCACUGUGUUAUCAGCCUCGAAACAUCUGGUCUCUUGUGCGCUAAUGAAGACGAGUUGGAUGCGGAUGAAGACAGCAGGCCUGCUGCGCUAGGGUGUGAACUCGAUACAGUAUUCUUGAUCCCUGAUAAAGACGAUUUGGGUGCGAUGCUCGGGGGAUCUGUAUUAGACGAUGCGACAAGCAGUAAAUCUACAUCUGGUACAGAAUUCUUACCAUCUUACGACCAUGCCUAUUGUGUGGAUACUAAGAGACGUUAUAGCGAUUCUGAAGAUCUAGCCAAAACUGCGAGGCCUGCUAAGCGUUUUACUGGGGUAACGCGAGUGAUACGGGAAAACAACGCACACGAUGACGCAAUAGGUCUUGGAGACGCAUCUAUCAACAGGGGGAUUACACAUUCAAAGGACUACCAACCUAUUGUUAAUAUUCAAUCAAAGGACAUUAACCGUGUGGAUUUAUGGAGUGAUACAGAACUCAAUUUUGACGACCAAUCUGAUGCGACUUUACUGGAGGAUGCGGUUGUCGACCCGUGUGAACUACAUGAAAGGUCAGAUUCGUUGAAUGUUUCUGAACCGGGGGUGGCUGGACCCUCUGCAGGUUUAGCAGUGUGUGAUAUAAACUCAGGUCGUUAUAAUUACACAGAUUUAGAAUCAGCAUUGGAUAGUGUUGCGCUGAGACUGA